rnacentral:rRNA from 1 species
GAGGAAUAUUGCACAAUGGGGGAAACCCUGAUGCAGCAACGCCGCGUGAGGGACGAAGGCCUUCGGGUCGUAAACCUCUUUUCUGAGGGACGAGGAAGGACGGUACCUCAGGAAUAAGUCUCGGCUAACUACGUGCCAGCAGCCGCGGUAAAACGUAGGAGGCGAGCGUUAUCCGGAUUUACUGGGCGUAAAGGGCGCGCAGGCGGCUUAGCAAGUUGGACGUGAAAGCUCCUGGCUUAACUGGGAGAGGUCGUACGAAACUACUAGGCUUGAGGUUGGGAGAGGGGUAUGGAAUUCCCGGUGUAGUGGUGGAAUGCGUAGAUAUCGGGAGGAACACCAGUGGCGAAAGCGGUACCCUGGCCCACACCUGACGCUGAGGUGCGAAAGCGUGGGUAGCAAAC